rnacentral:lncRNA from 1 species
GCCCUUUGGAUGUGGAGGAAAACUUGACUGCUGGGAAGGCAGAAAUCUGUCCCUGGGAGGUGGGUGCUGGAGCAGGGGAGGAAAGGGCUUUGGGAGCUGAGGCCAUUAGGAAAUCUCCAAAUGAUACAGGCAAGGGAGCUCUUCCUUCCAGACAUCCUUGUGUGCCUCUUGCUAGUUUUUUAGGGGGUCUCCCCCUCUUCCUGCCCUAGCUCUCACCAGUCUCCAGAGCUCGUCUCACUGGCUCAUUUCCUUCCCCCUAGCUUUUCAGCGCUGCCAUCAACAGGACCUCUCUCUUUUG